CCCACGUGUUGAGGGAGAAACUCAGUGGGAGGUAAUUAGAUCAUGGGAGUGGUUUUCUCCCUUGCUAUUUUCGUGAGAGUGAGUGAGUUCUCGCAAGAGCUGUUGGUUUUAUAAGGGGCUCUUCCCUAUACACUCUUCUCUCUCCCGCCACUUUGUGAAGAAGGUGCCUGCUUCCCCUUCUGCCAUGAUUGUAAGUUUCCUGAGGCCUCCGAGCUAUGCAGAACUCUGACACCUUGUGUGGAAUUAAAGAAUGCAGAGAAUCAGUAUUAACUCUCGGGAUCCUGGACCUAGUGUAAAUGGAGCUCUCUACGAACUCUUCAGGAGUCCCUCAACUUACCCAUCAAAAUGUUUUACAGAUUGCAUCAUCUUGAGAUGAGCAGCUGCUUCAUCUUUGGUAAGAAGAAUGCAGUUCCAGGGGGACCACUCCAGGGAUUUAUUCCAUCUGACCAUGACCAGAUCACUGAGAUUGUCGCAAGCACUGAGGACUGACUGGGACGCCCAGAUGUUCUCUGUCAGGAGAAAUCUGACUAAUACAACAUGGAAUAUUGAGCCAGCACUUCUUGGUGACUUACAUUAAAGCCCUAGUACAUCUAAGAUUCUCUACAAGGAAAUAUACAUCUGUCAUGUCAAUAAUUCCUGAAUAAAAGUAGCAAAUAAGAAUUUAAGCUGAAAUAAACAUCAAAUUUAUUAACAAAAUAUUCAUUCUAUUGGACAAAAUAUGUAAUCAUUUUAAUUUGUGCUUUUCAAACUGUGGGUUGCUACCUCUUGGGUGAUACCAAAGUUUUCCAAAUGGAAAUCAGAAUAAGUAGACUGAGAUUGAAUAGAAAAUAUCAGAGUACAUCCAUAGGGGUAAAGAUAAACACUAUUUUGGAAACUUUUAUUUCUGAGGCAGAACAGCAUGUGUUUACAUGUACGGAUGCUGGGAAUCAGACUGCCUAGUUUUCAAUCCUGGUGCUGGUACUUAGUAGCGUAAACUUGGACAAGUUAGUUAACCACUCAGUGCUUCCCUUUCCUCACCUGCAGAAUGGAAAUAAUGCCUAUUUUGAUAGGAUUUUUGUG
rnacentral:lncRNA from 1 species